rnacentral:rRNA from 1 species
UACGUAGGGGGCAAGCGUUGGUCCGGAUUUAUUGGGCGUAAAGAGCGUGUAGGCGGCCAGACAGGUCAGCUGUGAAAAACUCGAGGCUCAACCUCGAGACGUCGGUUGAAACCGUCUGGCUAGAGUCCGGAAGAGGAGAGUGGAAUUCCCGGUGUAGCGGUGAAACGCGCAGAUAUCGGGAAGAACACCCGUGGCGAAGGCGGCUCUCUGGGACGGUACUGACGCUGAGACGCGAAAGCGUGGGGGAGCGAACGGG